rnacentral:rRNA from 1 species
UACCAGCUCUCCGAGUUGUAGGGAUGAUUAUUGGGCUUAAAGCGUCCGUAGCUGGCUUAGCAAGUCUCCUGUUAAAUUCAGCGACCUAAUCGUUGAGCCGCGGGAGAUACUACUAGGCUAGGAGGCGGGAGAGGUCGACGGUACUUUCGGGGUAGGGGUGAAAUCCUAUAAUCCCGGGAGGACCACCAGUGGCGAAGGCUGCCGACUAGAACGCGCUCGACGGUGAGGGACGAAAGCUGGGGGAGCGAACCGGAUUAGAUACCCGGGUAGUCCCAGCUGUAAACUAUGCGGGCUAGGUGUUGGGGUGGCUACGGGCCACUUCAGUGCCGCAGGAAAGCCAUUAAGCCCGCGCCUGGGGAUACGGCCGCAAGGCUGAAACUUAAGGAUUGGCGGGGAGCACCACAAGGCGUGAAGCUUGCGGUUC